UAUUAUAUCCCCUUUAAUUCAGUAAUAACAUGCAGUGAUAAAAAAUAACAACAACAGAAACUAUUAAAAACUGAACAAAUAACAAUAAAUAAAAACUUACUUGUUGAAGUUUUUUGCUCUUCUCUUCCGAAAUACUCCCUCUCUACUCUCUGUUAUUUUUAUUUUAUCUAGCUUGGCAAGUGAACUUUAGUUUGAACAACAUAUGUUCUCAAUAGACGUUUAAAUAAGGUGAGUAAGUCCGGUACAUGAAUUAUUUUAGGACCAAAUUCAAACAUUAAUACUGUUAUGGGUCACAACUUUUUAUAUUAUCGAGCUUGCAGGUGUUCUUUCCCGAGGCGAUGUGGCAGAAAAAGUAGUCAA
rnacentral:lncRNA from 1 species